rnacentral:rRNA from 1 species
UGAGGAAUAUUGCACAAUGGGCGAAAGCCUGAUGCAGCAACGCCGCGUGAGGGACGAAGGCCUUCGGGUCGUAAACCUCUUUUCUGGGGGACGAGUAAGGACGGUACUCCAGGAAUAAGUCUCGGCUAACUACGUGCCAGCAGCCGCGGUAAAACGUAGGAGGCGAGCGUUAUCCGGAUUUACUGGGCGUAAAGCGUACGCAGGUGGCUUCGUUAGUCGGACAUGAAAGCUCCUGGCUUAACUGGGAGAGGUUGUUCGAUACCGCGGGGCUUGAGGUUGGGAGAGGGACGUGGAAUUCCCGGUGUAGUGGUGGAAUGCGUAGAUAUCGGGAGGAACACCAGUGGCGCAAGCGGCGUCCUGGCCCACACCUGACGCUGAGGGACGAAAGCGUGGGUAG